AACCUGGUUGAUCCUGCCAGUAGUCAUAUGCUUGACUCAAAGAUUGAAGCCAUGCAUGUCUUAGUGUAAAUAACUCUUAUGAAACUGCGAAUGGCUCAUUAAAUCAGUUAUCGUUUAUUUGAUGGUCCCUUACUACAUGGAUAACCGUAGUAAUUCUAGAGCUAAUACAUGCACAAAGGCCCGACUCACGGAGGGCUGUAUUUAUUACGAUUCAAAGCCGACCUUGUUUUGGUGAUUCAUAAUAACUUUUCGAACCUCAUGCCUUUAUGGUGGAGGUGAUUCAUUCAAAUUUCUGCCCUAUCAACUUUCCGAUGGUAAGCGAUUUGCCUACCAUGGUUGUAACCGGGUAACGGGGAAU
rnacentral:rRNA from 1 species